CAAUGAGUGCGAGUAGUUAAUCAUUUCAAACUAUAAAAGAAUAUUAUUUCUAAUUUACAAUAAAAUUGUAUAAAAGUGCUCUGAUAUAAGUUACUAGUAGUAUGUAACUACAAUCAGUUUUUUGACAGCUUAUUCUAAGGCGUGGCGCGGCGACUAGUGCCAACACCGAUCACCGCCGCGCGCGUUAGUCGCCAUUUUGUUUCUAAUUCGGCUUCUAACCUCUGGUCUGAUAGCACGAAUAUUUUUUCUGGGCUCACGCUGUUUAGUUAUUGUUUUUAUUAAAUUUUUCGUUACGUUGUGUUUAUGGAAAUUGUUGUGUUUAUUUGUUGCUAUAUUGUUCCGUACAAACGAUAUGGAUCCUCAACCAAGCACGUCAAGCCAAAUUUGUCUCCAAGAAAGAAGAGAACGCGGAUUGCUUUAAGCGUUACCGAAAAAGUUAUGAUACAAAACGUCUACAAACACGUAUUUGAGGAGAAAGCUGCUUCUCUAUUACCUAUUGAAGCUCCCGAAAAAAAAGAAUGUGUUUCGAAAACAGCUGACAUUUCGGGAAUCGGUGUGACCUCAGUUUACAGUGUAUUAAAAGAACACAAAGAAAAUGAACAAUUUAAGUCUCCCGAGAAACGUGGACCGAAACACAGUUUCAAAGAUAAAUUAGACGAUUUUACUUUUGCCGCUAUAAGAUUCUUAAGGUUGUCAAUGAAGACCCAGACUUGCCCAAUUUUUCUCGGAGUACAUUAAGAAAUGUUAUGAAACAUUGAAAUUUCAAUUAUAUCACAAAAUCAAGACAAAGUAUUUUAAUUGACAGACAGGACACUAUUUGAUGGCGCCAGCGAUACCUUCGAAAAAUUAAAGAGUAUCGAAAGGAAGGAAGGUAUUUAUUACCAAGAUGAAACCUGGAUCAACGAAGGUCAUGCACCGAAGAAGGCAUGGAUUGAUCAGACAGUUUCAUCGUCCCGCCAGGCCUUCCUAGAUGGCUUGACCACUGGCUUAAAACAGCCUUUAGGAAAGGGCAAACGAUUAAUUAUCAGCCAUAUAGGCGGGGAAGAAGGAUUAGUAGAAGACAGCUUAUUAAUAUUUGGCUAACAAGCAAAAAUAUUUCAUUCGAAGAAACAAUGGUUAAAGCUACUCUUAUAGAAAUUGUACGGCAGCACAAACAAGAAAAUUGCGAUAAGUAUGUUGUGGAUGAGAUGGCAGCGCAGCAUGGGAUAAUUGUGUUAUGUCUGCCCCCAUACCACUGUGAGCUCAAUCCCAUUGAGUUGGUAUGGGUGCAAGAAUAUGUUGCAAGAAAUAACAAAACCUUCAAAAUGACAGAAGUAAAAAACUUUUUGAAGAAGGACUUCAACAUAUCACACUUGAAAAAUGGAGUAUCUGCGUGUCUCAUAUAAUUAAAGAAGAAGACAAAAUGUAUGGUCUCGACCACAAGAUCGACAAUAUUUCAGUCAGAUUUAUAAUUAAUAUCACCGAAAGCGAUAGUGAUAGUUUUUUAUCUGAUGAUGAAUAAAAACAAAUUAUGUAAUAA